rnacentral:lncRNA from 1 species
UCAGGAAAGGCAUCUAUUGCAGGGCGCUGGGGUUUCAUUCACAGAGAAGCGCACGAGUCUUCUAUGGCAGAGGUUGGAUUGUUAAACUCAAAAUAUGUGAUAACAGUAAACAAACUACAAAAUUAUGGACGUACGACCAGUACGGUAUACAUAGCAGUUCAAAAAAUACAUCAUCUCACUUAGCUGAUGAUAGAAAUUAUAAAUGAGCGAAUAAUAAGUAUUCCUACAAAAAAUACAUCAUCU